rnacentral:lncRNA from 1 species
UACUGCCAUAGUACAACGAAAACUACCAAUAAUUAACAAAACCAUUAGUCUGGGUUCUUCCGAUGGAUGGAGCAGCAGAGGUAGAUAUGUGUUUAUCGAAACGAUAAAGAAGAUCGAGAGAAAAGGAAUAUCUCAUACUCAUAAAAGGAAGGUCGCCGGAAAAGGAAGACCAAUUAUAUCUGAGUUGAAAUCGAAGGUCGCCGGAAAAGGAAGAAAAUCCACCGUGAAAUCCCUACACCAUCUCUCCUUCGAUUCUCACUCAUGCUUCGUUGUUGGGACAAUCCGACACCACAAGGACGUCCACGACGUCAAGAGGAAGCUACGGCCACCGGUUGAAGGUCUCGAAACGGCCGAAAUCUGGAAAGCUCGCCGGAAAUCCAUGAAGCUUCUCCCCUUCGAUUCUCCUUCCUCACUUCGCGACUUGACAAACGAAGACCACCAAACCCGACCACCGCUGCGGCAACCUGAUCCACCGCUGCGGCAACCCAACCCGAUCCACACUCGCAGUCAGCGAGUCG